GGACACUCCACAGUCUUUCGGCGUUCUCUCUGACACCAGGGAUGUUCCUUCAGAUGCCCAAGCUCAAUUAUCUGAAGCUGAGGAGAAUACCCCUCACACACCUUCCUGCAGAUUUGGGAUCGCUCAAUGAACUCCGCAUACUUCUAAUAACGGACUGCUCUCUUCAGCACCUACCUGCGGGAAUUUUCGACAACAUGACGGAACUCGUCCAGUUG